AACACCAGCAGGAGGAGGAGAUAAAAAACCUGGGUGAAGUCCUUGAGGACAUGGUCAGAGAGGAAGGACUGGAGGAGUGACCGAGUGCAGGAGAGGGAUGAUGGCUGAUGAGGGCACAGGAAGGAGUUGAUGUGUGUGUACAUAUUUGUUUCUAAAUGUACAAACACACACACAGAGAGCUUUUCUCUGCUCUGGCAGAAUGAGGGAGGGAGACAAAGCUAUGGGAGAAUGAUCUGUGAUGAAUAAAACAGAAUCC